rnacentral:lncRNA from 1 species
UUUAUUCUUUAUCAUUUUCGUCUACCGUAUUCUUCUAUGAUUUAUUUUUUUUAUUCUUUGGAAUUUCCGUCAAACAUAUUCUUCUACCCUUCAUAUUUUCUAAAAAGAAUGACCCGUACAAAACACCGAUCUUUUCCUAGUUGGAAUUAAAGUUUGAAGAUUGGAAUUUAUUUUGUUAUAUAUAAGCAAAGGAGGGGUUGUUUUAUUUAAAACACACCAAAGUUUUGGGGGAAAGGACUUAUUUUGAAUAAACGGUUCAGCAGGGGUUUAAUGUGUUCAGUUUAUAAAAUCAAAUGAUUUUAGGGCUUUUUCUGCCCCUUGCCCUUUGUUGAUCGGGCAAAGGAAAAGAAUGAACGAAGCGAUGAGGGUAAAUACGACGAACACGAAGGCAGUCACGAGGGGAAAACACGGAGGCAAAACAAAUCGGGAGCAAAAAUCGUUUGGGGGGUUCGAUCCUCGUCUGAUCAGGGAAAAGAAUCACGAACGAAAGCUAUGCGAGGCGAGGAUUUCGAUCGAGAAAUGAAGAAGGACACGCGAAUGGGGAGCAGCGACAGGAAGGUUUCGGUGGCGAGUAGUCGAUCGUGAGGAGGGAACGUCUCUGGGGUCGACGAGGCCGAAGAAACGAAUGGAGAAACAGCGAGGCUACUUUUGUUCUCGUCUGGCUUUGAGGUGCGAAGGAAGGAGGGGUCCGACGAGAUUCCGGGAGGGGAUAGGCAGCAGCGACGUCGUGGGUGGGCUUCGGAGGGGUUUUCUCGACGGAAGAAGAAGAGAAAGAUGCGAGGGCAGAUGGUUCGGCGAUUGGAGGUCAAUCGCAUGAAAGAAGAAGGUAUCUCCGUUUUUUUUUUCUUUUUUUCUUUUCUUUUUUAGACAGAAAUGAAUGGAGCGUUUGGGUUUUGAUGUUUCACAGGUAAUGAAGAAGGAAGCAAGAAAUGUGAUGAGGCUGCUUCUUCUUGAAAGGAAAAAAGAAAAGAAUGAGAGGCUGAUACCUCUUUGCUAUUCACCCGAAAAAAGAACCACCUCCGGUGGUUCUAGGCUGCCACGAAGAAGAAGAAGAAAGAAGGGAGAUGAGGUGAAGCUUUGAAGGAUUGGAGGCAGCAUUAAGAGUAAAAUUUCUCAUAUUUCUUUAUGAUUUAGUUGUUCCACUGAGAUCCAUUUUGAGUAUUAUUCUUCUUUAGCUUGAAUGCUCAAUGUAAGGAAAUGGCAGCAACAACACGUUAGUGAGACUUGUAGACUUUCUUGGUGUUGGUAUAAUGCAGGAGGGUACCUUGAAUGACAUUUUAGUGAGACUUGUAGACUUUCUUUUUGUUAGAUGAACACUUUAUGAGUUGUACAAUUGAUUGGUAAAGUGUGUAAGUCUCACUUUGUUUGGCUGUCAAUUUAAGAGGUGUAUUUGAUUUCAAUUUGCAAAUAAUGUAUUGAUUUUAUCUCUUAUGUAUUUGUGUAAUUUAUUGGUUUAAUUAUUUAUGUAUAUGUGUGUAGGUAUUAUUGAGAAAUGGUAUUGGUUCAAUAUGUAAUUUAUGUGUAUUGAUGUAUAUUUCUAAUAGAUUUAAUGUACA